rnacentral:lncRNA from 1 species
AUGCUGGCCAGGCCUCACUUUUGGAAGUAUCUCCUGGGCCACCAUGAGCCCAGAGCUCAGGCACGGUUGGUUCUCAGCUACAGCCCAGUGAGAAAGCGGCUCAGGAGGAAGAGGAAGAGGACCAGGCAGUGGCCGGGGGCCAGCUCCCCAAGGCCCACACCAAGGGCUCCACCCAGCCAGUCGCCACCCCUUCUCCCCAGAAUUCAGGGAGCAGGCACAGCAAGGAUAGGCACCAAUCUGCAGGAAAGGGGUGCAUGUGUCCCCACUGUUACUGCAGCCGGGCUGGUGCUGCCCUGGGCUCAGGGUAGCCAGUCCCAGGGGACCCCACGCCCCACGCCCCCAAGGGCAAGCAGGACUCACCUGAAAAAAGCCAGGACCCGCCCCCUGGCCCACCACUUCUCAGCCUGGGCCUGCUGGCUGGGAGGGGAGGGAGGCAGGCACAGUCUGGUCUGGAGGCUUCUAGAAGCUGCUCACCUGGAGCGGAGGCAGAGCCAGGCCAAGUGGAGUCUAGCGCCAGAGGGGGGACAGAGGCCCCCAGGCACCACCUCGUCCCCUCAGCACAGCAGGCACCCCUCCGGCCCGAAUCACCCAGAGGCUGCUGCCCCCUCCCCGGGCCAGUGCCCCAGGAGGAAACAGCCCCGCCUCCCAUCCUUUCCAAACCCUGCCUGGCCAGGGGGCCCCAGGGGAGAGGGGCCUCGGAGCCCAGCCCAGCUAACCAAGAGUCCCCGUCCCCGCCCCAGAGGCCACAGCACCCCCAAGCAGCCACGAGGCACGUGGCUCAGCAAGGGGAAAAGAGGCCAGCCUGGGGGGCGGGGAGGGACAGGGCCCCCAGGACAGAGCAGGCCUGAGCCUGAGGUCCACCCACACAAUGGGCAGGAGGGAGGGAGCCUAGGAUGCCAGGCACCCGGCUGGGGGCAAAGGGCCUGGGACCCGCGCCCUUGCCCCGAGGCAAUCCCCCAGAGGACGCCCCGCCACCAGCCGCCAGGAGGAGUCCGGGAGGUGCGCCCCGGCCCUGGCCCUCAGCCGGGCUCCCACGCAGGGCCACCCACCCAGAGCCCUGCUCACCAACGGGUGCCAGGCGCAGAGGAGAGGGGCCUGGCACACGCGCCCUCCCCAGGGGGCCCCAACAGCCCCUACUCAGUGUGUGGAGGGGAUGGCUGGUGGCCCCAGGAGGCAGCAGCCCCCAUCCUGCAGGUCCCCUCUGGUCUAGUGGGGGCGCGGGGCAGGGGGAGGGCGGAGCCCCCAGACUGA